CGCUGGCGGCGUGCCUAACACAUGCAAGUCGAACGCGAAAGUCCCGCAAGGGAUAAGUAGAGUGGCAAACGGGUGAGUAACACGUGGGUGACCUGCCUUCAAGUGGGGGAUAACGUCCCGAAAGGGACGCUAAUACCGCAUAACAUGCCGCUUUUUAACAGGCGGACAUCAAAGCCGGGGAUCGCAAGACCUGGCGCUAGAAGAGGGGCCCGCGCCUGAUUAGCUAGUUGGUGGGGUAAUGGCUCACCAAGGCGACGAUCAGUAGCCGGCCUGAGAGGGCGGACGGCCACACUGGGACUGAGACACGGCCCAGACUCCUACGGGAGGCAGCAGUGGGGAAUUGUUCGCAAUGGGCGCAAGCCUGACGACGCAACGCCGCGUGGAGGAUGAAGACCUUCGGGUCGUAAACUCCUUUCGAUCGAGACGAAUGGCCUUCGGGUGAAUAAUCCGGAGGAAUGACGGUACCGAGAGAAGAAGCCCCGGCUAACUCCGUGCCAGCAGCCGCGGUAAUACGGGGGGGGCAAGCGUUGUUCGGAGUUACUGGGCGUAAAGGGCUCGUAGGUGGCCAACUAAGUCAGACGUGAAAUCCCUCGGCUUAA
rnacentral:rRNA from 1 species